UGAUUGAGUUGUUGACCACUGUU
rnacentral:misc_RNA from 1 species